rnacentral:ncRNA from 1 species
AAUUGUUGAGGUGAGAAAAGGCUCCUCACGCGCUAAGGCUUCUAGUAAAAAGAGAUGUAGGAUACGCCGCCCUACCAACAAUU